rnacentral:rRNA from 1 species
CAGUAGCCGCGGUAAUACAGAGGAUGCAAGCGUUAUCCGGAAUGAUUGGGCGUAAAGCGCGCGUAGGCGGUUUUUUAAGUCUGAUGUGAAAGCCCACGGCUCAACCGUGGAGGGUCAUUGGAAACUGGAAAACUUGAGUGCAGGAGAGGAGAGUGGAAUUCCACGUGUAGCGGUGAAAUGCGUAGAGAUGUGGAGGAACACCAGUGGCGAAGGCGACUCUCUGGUCUGUAACUGACGCUGAGGAGCGAAAGCGUGGGGAGCGAACAGGAUUAGAUACCCGCGUAGUCCCUGUCUCUUAUAC